rnacentral:rRNA from 1 species
AACGAACGCUGGCGGCAUGCCUAACACAUGCAAGUCGAACGAGACCUUCGGGUCUAGUGGCGCACGGGUGCGUAACGCGUGGGAACCUGCCCUUAGGUUCGGAAUAACUCCCCGAAAGGGGUGCUAAUACCGGAUAAUGUCUUCGGACCAAAGAUUUAUCGCCUUUGGAUGGGCCUGCGUUGGAUUAGCUUGUUGGUAGGGUAAAAGCCUACCAAUGCGACGAUCCAUAGCUGGUCGGAGAGGAUGAUCAGCCACACUGGGACUGAGACACGGCCCAGAAUCCUACGGGAGGCAGCAGUGGGGAAUAUUGGACAAUGGGCGAAAGCCUGAUCCAGCAAUGCCGCGUGAGUGAUGAAGGCCUUAGGGUUGUAAAGCUCUUUUACACGGGAUGAUAAUGACAGUACCGGGAGAAUAAGCACCGGCUAACUCCGUG